GGCGAGGAUGAUCAAUGCUUAAAUUUCUGACACCUCUUGUAUGAGAAGAGUUUGAUAGCCUCUUUUUUGAGCAAAUUACGCUACACUCUGAGCC
rfam:Capsella rubella cultivar Monte Gargano unplaced genomic scaffold scaffold_5, whole genome shotgun sequence.